rnacentral:rRNA from 1 species
GAGUUUGAUCCUGGCUCAGGACGAACGCUGGCGGCGCGCCUAACACAUGCAAGUCGAACGGAGCUGAGAGGAGCUUGCUUUUCUUAGCUUAGUGGCGAACGGGUGAGUAACGCGUGAGUAACCUGCCCUGGAGUGGGGGACAACAGUUGGAAACGACUGCUAAUACCGCAUAAGCCCACGGGUCGGCAUCGACCAGAGGGAAAAGGAGCAAUCCGCUUUGAGAUGGCCUCGCGUCCGAUUAGCUAGUUGGUGAGGUAACGGCCCACCAAGGCGACGAUCGGUAGCCGGUCUGAGAGGAUGAACGGCCACACUGGAACUGAGACACGGUCCAGACUCCUACGGGAGGCAGCAGUGGGGAAUCUUCCGCAAUGGGCGAAAGCCUGACGGAGCAACGCCGCGUGAGUGAUGACGGCCUUCGGGUUGUAAAACUCUGUGAUCCGGGACGAAAAGGCAGAGUGCGAAGAACAAACUGCAUUGACGGUACCGGAAAAGCAAGCCACGGCUAACCACGUGCCAGCCGCCGCGGUAAUAC